CAGUAGCGUAUAUUAAAGUUGUUGCAGUUAAAAUGCUCGUAGUUGAAGUUCGGAUGCAGCAGAGCUUGGAAACGCUGUUAUGGUGCUUCCGUUGCUUUUGCUUGUCCACAGUGCGUUGCAAGUACGUAUGUGCUUGUGCGUGCAUUUUAUUUUGAGAAACAUAGGGUGUUCCACGCAUGUUACGGCAUGAAUAUUCCAGCAUGGGAUAAUCUGGUACGACUUCCAAUCUGCCAUUUUGGUUCGUAGGUUGGAAGUAAUGAUUAAUAGGGACUGUCGGGGGCAUUGGUAUUUGACUGUCAGAGGUGAAAUUCUUAGAUUCGUUGAGGACCAACCACUGCGAAAGCAUUUGUCAAGGAUGUCUCCAUUAA
rnacentral:rRNA from 1 species